rnacentral:rRNA from 1 species
GAUGAACGCUGGCGGCGUGCCUAAUACAUGCAAGUCGAGCGACCAGACGGUGAGCUUGCUCCUCUGACGUUAGCGGCGGACGGGUGAGUAACACGUGGAUAACCUACCUAUAUUACUGGGAUAACUUCGGGAAACCGGAGCUAAUACCGGCUCAUAUAUUGAACCGCAUGGUUCAAUAGUUCAACACGGUUUUGCUGUCACUUAUAGAUGGUUCCGCGCCGCAUUAGCUAGUUGGUAAGGUAACGGCUUACCAAGGCGACGAUGCGUAGCCGACCUGAGAGGGUGAUCGGCCACACUGGAACUGAGACACGGUCCAGACUCCUACGGGAGGCAGCAGUAGGGAAUCUUCCGCAAUGGGCGAAAGCCUGACGGAGCAACGCCGCGUGAGUGAUGAAGGUCUUCGGAUCGUAAAGCUCUGUUAUUAGGGAAGAACAAAUGUGUAAGUAACUAUGCACGUCUUGACGGUACCUAAUCAGAAAGCAACGGCUAACUACGUG